rnacentral:rRNA from 1 species
UACGGAGGGGCUAGCGUUGUUCGGAAUUACUGGGCGUAAAGCGCACGUAGGCGGCUUGUAAGUUAGAGGUGAAAGCCUGGAGCUCAACUCCAGAAUUGCCUUUAAGACUGCAUCGCUUGAAUCGCGGAGAGGUGAGUGGAAUUCCGAGUGUAGAGGUGAAAUUCGUAGAUAUUCGGAAGAACACCAGUGGCGAAGGCGGCUCACUGGACGCGUAUUGACGCUGAGGUGCGAAAGCGUGGGAGCAACAGG